rnacentral:rRNA from 1 species
UACGUAGGUGGCAAGCGUUGUCCGGAUUUACUGGGCGUAAAGAGCGCGCAGGCGGUCGUUCAAGUCGCGUGUGAAAGCCCCCGGCUCAACUGGGGAGGGUCACGCGAUACUGAUCGACUCGAAGGCAGGAGAGGGUAGUGGAAUUCCCGGUGUAGUGGUGAAAUGCGUAGAUAUCGGGAGGAACACCUGAGGCGAAGGCGGGCUACUGGGCCGAUACUGACGCUGAUGCGCGAAAGCCAGGGGAGCAAACGGG